CCUCUAGCAUUUCCCCUUUAAUAGCCCGUCACGUGGUUCAGCUCUUCCGCUUUCAUACAAGUCUUUCAGAGCGGCAUGCCUAAGUGGAAAGUCUGCAGUCAUGGAAGCUCCGCGUGAGAAGUUAUUAAUGAUGGUCAUUAUGGACCUCAGGGUCAAGAAUGGAAGGAGUAGUUUCAGAAAGGAGGCUCAUAGAACUUGAGGAAUGAGCGCAUGGGUCACCAGCUGAGGCAGUUUGGAAUCAAGGCAUGCAAUGACCUGAUAAACAAAUUACUGGGAAGGAUGGUCAUUAUGGACCUCAGGGUCAAGAAUGGAAGGAGUAGUUUCAGAAAGGAGGCUCAUAGAUGAAUGAUGUGGUGGUCUUGCGUCCCUUGCAUAGAUGGAGAGACCUGCAUUCUGCCCAGCCCACAGGACUUGUGGAGUGAGCAGAAGGAGCCCCGUUUGUGGCAGGACGCAGGACUUCCGUCUUCAAGCAGGACCGUAGCCUCAUUUCCAAAUGGCUUGGGAGAGCCCAUGGUAUGAUCAGGAGCCCACCUUAAAGCAGGACCUCUGACUGGAGACAAAGCAGUCAAUUGCCUGACAUGCAAAUGACUGGGAAGAGCCCAUGGUAUGACCAGGAGCCCACCUUAAAGCAGGACCUCUGACUGGAGACAAAGCAGUCAAUUGCCUGACAUGCAAAUGACUUGGAUGAGCCCAUGGUAUGAUCAGGAGCCCACCUUAAAGCAGGACCUCUGACUGGAGACAAAGCAGUCAGUUGCCUGACGUGCAAAUGACUUGGAAGGUCAGAAGCUUGGCUUAGGGCAGGACCUUUCACUGGAUGCAAGGCAGUCAGUUUCCUGACAUGCAAGUGGCCUGGAAGGUGAAUGGUGUGAUGGUCGGGCUUUUCUUGCAUAGAUGGAGACCUGCAUUCGCCAGUCUGCAGGUUUCUGCUACUGGUCUGAAUGAGGGAAUGUGCAAGGCCAUAAGAUGGAGAUGUAUUUGUGUUCUGCAUGGGCAAAUCUAAAGUAAUGUAAUGUCAGAAAUUUGACAAUAAAUAUUUCAACUUGCAA